rnacentral:lncRNA from 1 species
GUUGGAAAUAAGCAAAAUUGGAAACAAGAUGGCUACAUCUAUGAAAGUUAUCAAUGCUUGCCUGCUCCGAAUAUAAGGCAAGCGCUAAAAUAACGUUCAUAGAUCCAUCAUGUUUCAGGCCUCCAAUUUUGCUUUUUUCUGACUUGGUAACUCGAACGCAGCAUUUGGAUACGAGAUCGGCCAAUCAGAGGAUUUAUCUUUUAAUAUUUUAAAAUUUAGAGAUUUACUUCAAAAAUCCAUUUUUGUGUGUCGUACCUGAAUCAGUCUGAACGUGUUAAAUAUUAAUUAAAAAGUCUUUUAUCCUUUCCUCUCUUUCUGUUCGCUUCUUUUCACGUCACCCUCCUCUCUUUAUUUCUGAUCUCAUCCUGACCCGCAGAGGUGAGAGGUCUUCAGAGGUCAUCACGGGGUUACCAGAGGUCGCCGAUGUCACGGCGGCGCUGUGAGGAGAGGACCACACACUCUUACCAUCGAGGUAUCUCAUCUUCUAUCAGCUCUGUCAGUCCUCACACACACACACACAUAUCUGCUCAUCUUUUUUGCAUGUGUGUGUGUGUGUGUGUGUGUGUGUGUGUGUGUGUGUGUGUGUGAUGCUCCAGUUUGAUUGUGCGUUUUGUUGGACGAGGAAGAGAUGAGCAGCAAAGUUUAGAAACAGGAAGUCUCUGUUUGACGCCGCAGAAAAACUUCCUUCAAACACGAAUCAAACAGAGAAGAGAGGAAGAGGCCUUCUCUGCUUCCUUGUUUCCUUUCCUUCCUCGCCUCCUCAUUCUGAUAUGAGCGGCGACGGCAGACAAAACAAACUUCAGUCACUUCCUUUAGCUUAUUUAGGUUUCAAUCUAGAUCACAGCUGAUCUAGAUUGAAAUAUCGAUCGGUCUGAUUCACGCCGGCGUCGAGGUCGCGGUUUGCACGCCGCCGUCUCUUCCUGUUUCGAACAGUUUGCAUGACUUUCUUGUGUGAGAGAUAGAGACGGUUAAAUAAUCGUUCCAUCAGAUAAACUUCUCUUCCUCCACAAACGGAUGAUAAAGAGACGACUUCAAAGGUUUUAGAAACACGAUCGGCGUUUAAAAAACACGCUUUAAAACUUUAAACGUUAUCCUGAGAAACCGCCGCUUACAUAUGUGUGUGUGUGUGAGACGAUGCUACUGAACACACACGCUCCCUCACGGCGGCCUAAUGAAGACGAAUGAGACAGCACACACACUUCUCCUCACCCCCUGGUUAUUGAUGAGCCUGAGGGGUCAAAGGUUACAGAAACACCAACUGUGUGUGUAACUUUCACUUUCUCUCUCUCAGACCGACAUUUAUCUUCAGGACAGCGAGAAAAAAAAAAACCCACUCGCACUUUUUCCCAUGUGACUUUUACUUCCCUUCAUUCAGUGUCUGUUUCCACUUUUUUUUUUUCUCUCUCUUUUUGAAUCCGGACGCCGCCUCGGUGUUUUUGAAGGUUUUGGACGUUAAAUUUAACCUGCUGUAAAAUAAAAGUUAAAACACGAGAGCGACACAAGCUGAAAAUCAAAAUACAUGAAAAUAGAAGAAGAAGCAAAUCUGUUCUUAGGGCUACAACAAAAAGUAUUUUUUUUUAAACAACAUUUUCUAACUUUUAUCCUCCAGAAUUAUGUAAUAAAAAAAGAUUCUUUGUUUAAAGUUUUAUUUCUUAGUUUUAAUUAAGAAAUAAAACUUUGAACUAGAAAUCUACUUUUAUUUCAUAACUUUGAAGACAAAAAGUAGAUUUCUAGUUUAAAGUUUUAUUUCUUAGUUUUAAGUCAGAAUUCUCAAAAUUACGAGUUUUGAGUCGCUUUUUAGAAUUCAUAGUUAAAAUUUGGAAUUGUGACUUUUUCCCUCAGAAUUGAAACUUUAAAUUCAAAAUCUUUUGUCUUCAAAGUUCUGAAAUAAAAGUAAAUUCCUAUUUCAAAGUUUUGUUUCUUAAUUAUAAGUCUGAAUUCCCCAAAUCGGAGUUUUGAGUCACUUUUUAAAAUUCAUAGUUAAAAUUUUGAAUUGUGACUUGUUUCCUCAGAGUUAUGAAAUAAAAGAUUCUUUGUUUAAAGUUUGAUUUCUGUGUUCAAAGUCAAAAUUCUUCGUAUUUUGAGAUUUGAGUCACUUUUCAGUUCAGUUCAGUUUAUUUUUGAUCCCAAAAUGUUAUAAUUACACUUUUCAUUUCUUUUUCAUUUAAAUCAUUGGACCAAAAAUUUCACAAUUCGUUAUUAAAAUUUUGAAUCGUGACUUUUUUUCUUGGAAUUCUGACUGUUUCCUGAGAUUAAACUCAAUAUUUGACUUGAUGUCAGAAUUCAUUUUUCCAAUUUCUGACAUUUUUUGCCCAAAAUUAUGACUAAUGUUUCAAGAUUAAAGUUGGAAUUCUUAUUUCUGUGUUUUUACAUUUUCUUUUUCAAUAUUAUGACUUUUUAUCUUUGAAUUCUGACUCUUAACUUAUGUUUCAAGAUUAAAGUCAUCAUUUUGUCUUUCUUCCCUGAAAACUGACUUCACUUUGGAAAUCCAUACCUAGAGUCAGAAACCUAUGAAAGUGCAGAAAAAAGUUGAUUUUCAGAAUAAAAGCCUACUUUUGGAAUUUUCAGAAAAAAGGCAGAAUUUGAGUUAUUUUCUUUUGGAAUAUAGAAAAAGUUAAAAAAAAUUAUUUGAAAGUGCUUUAAUUUUUAUUAACAAAAAGAACUCUUAAAUCUGUUUUCAAAUUUUUCAGAAAAUAGUCGGAAUUUGAAUUUAGUUUUAGAAUUUUCUGAAAAAGUUGAAAAUUUGAAUCUGAAACUUUAAAUUCUAAGAAAAAAAAAGUCAAAGUUUGAAACAUUUCUUCCCUUUUCUUAUUUUCAGGGAGGGUGCUCUGAUCCUCUUCUAUGCUGAUGAUACUUUACAGGAGAUCGACAGUGAGCGUCAGGUUUGUAGAAAAAGUAAAAGUGUUGUAUUUAGACAAAUCCUUCUUUAUGGAUACUGAUGUCUUUUAACAAUGGAAAGUCCUUCUGACUGUGAUGAGAUGGUGGUUUAUGAGGACAAGAAUCUCCUGUGAUGCAAUAAAGGAUCAUAGUUUUUUAGUGUUUUAUCACGUUGUCUUAUAAACGUUAUAAAUGUUUAAUUGUUUUAAUAUUUCAUGUUUUCUUGUAUUUGUGCACAUCAUGAAGUUGGUCUUAACUCUGAUUCUCCACAUGUGCUCUCUGGAUUCUCUGAAAGAACAGAUAAAAAUAUCUCCUUUUUUUAAUAUUUCCCCUCAGAGUCUUUGUCAGAGCAGAGAAAUAUUAAACAAAGUAACUGGAUUUAAAGUGGAAAUGUCCUUCAGAGCAGAGAGGACCACAUUAUUGGUCUCUGCGUGCCUGUGGUCCGUCUCUUCUUCGUUCCCUCGAUCCCUUCAGCCCUUUAACUUUCAUCCACAAUCAUUUUAACUCAUUUUCCUCCAAAAUACUUGUGGCCUGACCGACAGAUUCCCCUCCUGACUAAAGACUACUACUGUGUGUACCAGCAUGUGUGUGUGUGUGUGUGUGUGUGUGUGUGUGUUAAAGUGUGUGUGUACGUGAAGCCGGUUAUUCAUUCCACAUAUGAAGACAAUUGAAUUAUAAUGAAGCCCAUUAUUAAGGCUUAGAGGAGCCUGAUGGCCCUGUGUUUCAGGGAUUAUUACCGCAUUCGUUAUGUGUGUGUGUGUGUGUGUGUGUGUGUGUGUGUGUGUGUGUGUGUGUGUGUGUGUGUGUGUGUAUCUGGAUUCACAGUAAAUACAAAAACAUUAAAGUGUCGGGCGGCAUUACUGUAAUCGCCGCUUUAGAUCUGAUUAGAUGCAGACGUCUCUGAGGGGAUUUUGGGAAGUAUACGAGGGAGGCUGACUAACGCCGUAUCGUUAUGAUUUCAGGGAAAUGAGCGGCGUUUGCUAGACGUGUUCAGCGCUAAUUUGUUCUCUUUUACCGCUGUCAUCACAUUGCGGUGAAUGAAGUGUGUGUGUUUAAACAGCUGGGUUUAGAGAGACGUCAAAGGGUCAACAAAAGGUUAAAAACCUGUUUACAGUGAAAGCUUUCAUCAUCUUGGGGUUAGUUUGAUGACUUUUUCACCAAGUUCAGGAUUUCCUUGUUCUUAUUUUUGUUUAUUUCAGACCUGUUGAGCAGCAGGACUCUUCUACUACGGAUCCACACUAUUGUCAUCCCUGCAGAGAAACAUCUUUGUAUACUUCUAAAACUUCUUAUACGACUUUAUUAGUCAAAUUUAGCUUCUAAGUGAUUUGAAAAAGAACUUUUUAUUUUGAACUCAUUCAGUGCCAAUGACGGAUUUUGACGGAUUUUUCAGUUUGUUUUUUGUUUUCCACCAGAGGGCGCUCCUCCCCAACGUACGACUAAGUUUGGGGUCGUUCUGAACGCAGAAAAGCCGUCAAAUACGUCAAAACCAUGUCACAAUAACAAAAACAAGGACUGGCCAGUGAAAGGUGUGACAAUUAGCCUUGUAGUGGAGUGUUUUCUCUCUGUGAGGAAAGUCGGAAAAUGCCGAAGUCAUUAGCCAAGAGCUAAUGGUCUCGGCGCAUCGGCUCCCUUGGGCGCGGUGCUACCGUCUCUUGAUCCAGUGGAGUUCCCGGUACCGGACCUUCGCAUCAUCAACAGACAUUUAAAGAAACAAUUUCCCGGCGUGUCGUUGUGUCGCCGUUGAGCGAGACUGAGCCGGAAUCCAGCGACAGUCCCGGCGAGGAGGACGCGAGUGUUCCAUGUGGUUUACGUUGAGGCGUUAGGUUCUAGAGAGCCAAUACGACUCCCAGCCGUCACAAAGUGAUCUAUCACGAUCUAAAGAGUGAUGAGGAGUGGUGUCCGAGGAAGGAGGACCUUGAUGCCGCCUGUAAAGUAGUUUGAAGUGAAAUGAAAAAGACGAUCAGAGUUUGGCUUGAAAGUCUCUCCUUUGUAAUAAUGUGUUUUUCCCAGAUCGGCAAAGAUGAUAUGACCAUGCUGCAUUGAGCAGGCAAUAACUAAACACAGGAGUGGGUUAGAGACUAACUUUUUUUUCUGGUGAAAGAAAAGAAUCACACCUUUCUUUUGAGAUAUUGCAAUUAAUUCUAGUCCGAGCACAAGAUAUUCUGCAGGUCCUGAAAGAUACAGAAAUUUCUAUUGCGGUCGAUGGUGGCACUGGGUGAAAAUUGCCCAAAUUUACCUGGGACUGAAUGAAUUAAAAAUAUGUUGGAUUUUCCUCAGAAAGUGUUUAAUUUUAAUGAGAAAACUUAAAAAUUAAUUUCUGAUUUUCUUCGUUUAUAUUUCCCGAUAAAAACGACUUCGUGUUUUGACGAUAAAUCUGAUUUUUCAACAUCUAAUGAGUUUAAACUUUUCAACCACAGCUGAUGAAACAACAAGAGUUCAAGGAACUUAAACAUUAAAAGAUGAGUAAAGAAUGCACAAACACACACACACACUAACACACUCUUACACACACUAACACACUCUUACACACACUAACACACACACACUCAUGGCGUUGAGUCAUCGAGCCCAGAUGUCUUUAUUCACCUCCGUACAACAGAACGACUGUUGAAGUCAGACGCGAACGCUCGUAAAACAUGAUUUCACUCAAACACACACUCAUACCAGGCACCAAUUAACCCUCACACACACACACACACACGUGAACACACACACGCACAUGUUGGCGUUAUGCUGACCUCCUGAACUGUGUUUUCUAGCUGACGGCGGUGUGUAUCAUCAUGGGAAACUGAUGCUACAUGUGUUAUCUAUAAACUCGCUGAUUAACAACAGAGUGUGUGUUUGUUAGAGGGCGAACGAGUGUGUUAGUGUGCGUUUAAAUCCACGUUACACACACACUAACACACACACUAUGACAGACUCAUAGUUUGGGGAUGUAUGUAUCGCCUCGUUGGCACCGAACGGUGAGAAAGUUCACAGAUCAGAAACCGCAAGACGUUUUAUGGAGAGGCGGCGUGUCGAAGGCCCGUCUGAGGUCAGAAGUCGUAUAUUUAUACACAUAUAUGGUAAAUACUAAAACCGUAGAGAAAAAGUAUCACCAAGACAGAGAAGAAGAUUUGUCGGUAAAAACCAUAAUCCUUGAACCCGCUCUGCUGCCACUAGCUUAACUGAAACUGCAGAUAAAAUCAUGAAACUCCAAAAACACGACUUUGUGGCCUUAAACGUGGAUCAAAAGCAGACAGAGGAGGAAUAACAUGAGUCAAAAAAGAGAGAAAAAUCAGAGGGAAUCAUUAAACGUCUCUAAACACGUCCCUGUCAUCUCGUUUUCGAUCUCCGUCAUCGUCGAUCGUCUGGUCCGUACGAGAGGAAACCACAGCACACAGACCCGGCUCUCUGUCAGGCUCUUUGACGUCGUAUUUGCUUCUCCACGCCUCAUUUGUUUCUGUCAUUUAUCACAUCAUUUUGUCAUUAAAAACAUGCAACUUCUGCCUUUUCUGUCCUCCCAGAAUCGCCCUCACAGCUUCUUCAUCAGAGCGACGAUCCGUCACGUCAAACUUGUUGCUUUCAUCCCUCCGUUUAGUUGCGUCAAAGUAUGUGGCGGCGACCGCCGAGAAGGGUGGAUCGGGGUCCGUCUGUCUCUCUGUCUCUAAAACAAAGAGAUUUUCAUAAUUCGAAACAUUCGCAGAGUCUACCAGUAGCAGAAGAGGCAAGAGUCACCGGGAACCUUCAACUCUUUAUGAAGGACUCGCUCAGAGGCUGCAGACUGGGACAAGACCAGCAGUCCGGUUUGAUCGGAUCUGAGUUCAGGGGCAGCAUCGGUGAGAAAAAUAGUAGGUGCGGCUGAAGGUUUGGAAAGCAGAGCCCUGUUGGGGGGUUCGGAUCUUGACCUACAAAGACAAAUUGGGUGGGGAAACUGUAUUUUAACUUAUUUUUAGGUCAUUAUAGCCGACGCCCAGCCUACCUACAUUUAGUGUAACACUAUGAUAUAGAAACCGACUGUAGCGUACUCGUCUACAUUCACCUGCAUCUUUUGUCGCGAUUAUUUUGCAGGGGAAACAAAAAAAAACGGCCUUACUCUUUGGACUUCCAGUUAGCCAUACUUUGCGCCUGUACCAUGCUCUUGAAAAUGUCCACGUAUAUAUUGUCUGCUCUUCUCUUCUCGGUGGUCACUCGCUGAGCAGCGGCAUCUGGUCAAUCCGGACCGAGCUCUUUCAGCUUUAGUUAGUCCUGCAGAGUUCUCCUCUCGAACGGGACCUACUUGAUGGAAAGCGCAGCGGUAGAUCUCUCGGUAGGGGGUUUGCGGUAGCUAUUCCUACUUCAUCUGUCAUUGGCAACCAAGUGCAGAGUGAGGGGCGGACUGGCUCCGAGUAGAGCAGCUAGCUAUGUCAGAGGCAUAUUGUAGCUAUGCUUCCAUUUGUGACCAAUCUGGUUAUAAACGUGCUUACAUUAUCCAAAUUAGGGACGUUUGGGCACUGGUCCCUGGCACCCCUUAACGAUUUUUUUCAUUUGGCUAGGAUAAGCUAACUUUUUAGUGCAGAGCUGUGAUCUAAGCAUGUGUGAGAGUGCAGAAACCUUGGGCGCUGGCCAGUGGCGCCCCUGACGUAAAUGCACAACUGUGAUCUGAGUAUGCGUGAGACAACAGACGAUUCCGAUUCCGCCCCGAUACUGGGUGGAGAGAUCGCUAACGGACUGAAAUACACAGUUAAUGGAAGGAUUAAUAUAAAAGCAUGAUUUCCUUAUCUUGAUUCUUAUUUUCAGGUAGACAGCAGACAUCUCCCCCCGCAGUGCCCUCAUAUACCGGCCGCUGCUGGGUCGCACUAAAAUCCGAACCCUUCUGAAACCUCGACCCAGAUGGAAACAGAGCUGGUCUGAUGAUCCAUCUUCAUGUUCUCGCAUUUUCCACUCAGGACUCUCUGGGCUUGCGACACGCUUUGUUGUUUCAUAUCGAGGACUUGCCAACUAAGAGGGUCAGCCAAGAGACCCCCACAUGAACCAGGACACACCGGGAAGGUUCGAGAAAGAAAGUCUACGACAAUGACAAGAUUCAUGUCCUCGUUAGUGGAGUUUAGCCGCCCCCCCCUGAGGCAAACUCAGGGGUUUCAAACCCACAACCUAGCAGUCCACCAGAGCAGUUUUCUAUAAAACCCCGAUCCGAGCCGUCCUCUCUGUCAGACACAAAGCCGCUGCUGGAAACACAAAGAUCUGAUCAAAUGAAGACCUAAUUAAGUUGUCGCACACUAACCCCGUGGAGCAGCAGAGAGAAACCCACAUCCUAGUUUUUACCCAGAAGUCUCCCCGCAAGUCCCGAUCCAGAAAAUUUGGCGAGGAGGGGGGGGGGGCGCCACUUUGUACUUAAUUAGUUCAAGGAAUCUGCAUGAAAUCCUGCGCUGUUUAACCACUGUGCUGAGUCACUGACCCCGGAUCCUGUGGGCAUCAAAGACGGCACAGAUAGUCCUCCUCUUCUUCUAAAUCCGUCUCAGGUCUGCGACGGCUCACAAACGUCCCUGUUUCUGUUUUCAGACACAAACUCGCCAAAUUAAUCCACAGAGUCUGAACUGGCGCUCUUAAAUCCACCGGAGGAAAUAGUUCAUUAGCAGCCGAGUUCAGAUCCAAAACAGAGAGUACCGUGUGAGUAAAACCGAACCGCUGACCACAUCUGUGGCGGCGUUGGCGUUUCAUCUCAUUUCCUGCUUUUCUUUGCUCCUCUCUUGUUUUGCUCUUGUUGUUCUCGGCUCUGCCAAGUCUGUUUUAAUGUUUACUCCGAACCGUUAGGUCUGCAGAUGCCCCGCUGCUCCACACACAGAUUGUAUUUAGUUGUUGAUGAUAAUGAAAUUAGCCGGGCUAAUCGCUGGAGCCUGUGAUUGCGUAAAACGAAAGCUUUACCGACCUGUUCGUAUUAUUUUAAUAGAAACCAUCGAGGUGAUCGUCUUUUUCCACCGUUCAAACAUCCGACCCAGACCGACGAUUUCUCUAAUUCAAUACAAACGGGUUUCUGCUUUGAAGAAUCGAGUGUUCCCCGCAGGUGACCUCAGGUAUGCAGAUCCAAAUCAGAACCGAGUGCUAAAAAUGAGCUAGCUUAAACUGACGAUGCGUCUGCGUUCACUUACGUUUCUAAGACUUUAAAGGGACAUUCCGGGGUCAAACACACCGUAACGCUAAGUUAGAGCCCCCCUUGAGCGAUGAAUGUUGCCGCCACCAAACAUCUUUUAAACUUUGACUCAUUUCUUUAGCAAAAUGACCAAACACAACUCACCCACUCUCUUCCAGCAGCCACUUGUUUGUAGAGAAACCUCGACCAGUCCAUUACGGACUCCAGCGGGGUUUCGCAGCUCAAGGAAGAACAUUUAUGAUCAUUACUUUAUCAUUUCCUUGAAGUAAUAAUCAUCAUAUUAAUCAUUUUACAGACACGGUAGUUCUUCUGUCUUAGUGUCUUGUCUGAUUGCAAAGAAUAACAAGAAAUUAAAAAAACAACACCGACCAAGACAAGAACGAGAGACAAAAACAAAUCCAAAACAAACAAAGUAUCAGUCACAGCUGUUUAAAAUGAAUGGUAAGGAAUGUUGUCGCUUGGUUGUGUGGAUGAGAACAAUGUAUGUUACAUUAAUUAUGUAAAAUAAAAAUUAUAAUAAUAAUAAUAAAGAAAAACCAAUAAGAAGUUGAACCCGAAAGAAAAUAGGAUAAAAUAACAACAACAACAAAAAUAAUAAUAAUAAUAAUAAUAAUAGGUCUGAUUGUAUUUCCAUGAAGAAAUGAUCAUAAAUGUUCUUCCUUGAGCUGCGAAACCCCGCUGUAGUCCGUAAUGGACUGGCCUGAGCUUUCUCUUCAAACAAGCGGCUGCUGGAAGAGAGUAGGUGAGUUGUGUUUAGAAAAUGAGUCAAAGUUAAAAAGAUGUUUGGUGUCUAGUACUAUGUCUGUGACCCUAUAUGUCCUGUUGAUGAAGUUAGGUGCUGUUCUGAGCAUUAUUUGUGGCUAUAGAGUGGCGUUUUGGUUGAGCGCGUGGCUCACCGUUUUGCAAUCGUGCGGUCGUUACUAAAGUUGGUAUAACUAGAGAAGCAAGCAGUCGACAACAUUCAUCUCUGGACGGGGUGUCUAACUCAGUGUUACGGUGUGUUUGACUCUAAAUCAAUUUUACGCCGGAAUAUCCCUUUAAGGUGACAGCAUCUAGUUCUCAAACUCGAGGCUUGAAGAGGUUAAAAAGUCACUCGACAUAUUUUGCUCAUGAACCGUUUCUACCGACAGCUGAAUUCGUCAGGUUUCAUCCUCUCGUUUGUUUUGGCGGUGACUUCCUCUAAGUUCCUGUCUCUGUUUUUGUUUCGGAGCUAAAAAUAAAAAAAGUACCAAAGAAGAGGUCAGAGGAAAGUUUCGGGCUCCUGAGCUGCUGUUUCUGCAGAGGUCUGACUCUGCUGCCUGUAAACCUGUGAGCGUGAGCUGAGUCAGUCCGGAGGACGUGAUGAUACCAAAGCUUGAUGACCUCGUAUGAGGCCGAACGCCGAGUUUGGGGUCACCGCAGGGACGCUGACGUCUGAGUAACGAAUCAUCAGCGACUCGUUUUUUCCUCUCCUACUCUUUUAUUCUCAGAAGUGAAUCCGUUUCAGUUUUAUGCCUCACAUCUUGACUUUGUUUUGAGACAUUUCUUCUUUUUAUUAUAUUUCUGGAUUCGGUCUUUGUUUACAAAUAUGUUUAUUUGUUCUGUUCAUGUUCCCGGAGUUAUUAGAAAAAGACCCAGAACUGUUUGUUCUGGUCUUAAUGGAAGUGCUGUGCUCUCUCUGAUUCAAUAUUUAAAAGAACAGUAUAUUACUGUCUGUAUUUAGUGUACGAUUGGAUGAAGUCGGAGAUACUUGAUGAAAACUUCUCAGUAGUUGAAGGACCAACCUGAGGAUCUCCGUCUUUGAAACUGUCUUCUGUACAUUUUUGACCCGUCUGAGUCUUCGUUCUUCAUCCACUAGAACUCUUAAGAACUUGACCUGGUGGUUUUGAGAAACUUCUAUGUAUCUCUGAGUACUCUGGAUUUAUCUUUUGCGUAUUUUCUGGUUUUUGUUCGAGAAUAUCGUGAAAUUUGACGUUUUUAUCUUAAAGUUAUGGUUGACGAUUGUAGAGAUUGGUAAUUAUUAUGAACCUCGUUUCUAUGGCGAUCAUGGUCCAAUCAUGCGAUCUCCACAAAGUGAAGAAGAAAAAAGAACGGAAAAAAUCUGUUCAUCCUAUCAGGCGCAGGGCUGCAAAAUCAUUGACCAAUAGGAGCCAUUCGUCCCGGACAGCUCCUAUUGGUCAAUCUCCUGCUCCGCCUCUUCAUCCAAUCACCUCGCUGUAUUCGACACACCCCUCUCCCGUAGAUCCGACUCGUCCCCUCCCACUCUCCGGGCGCCAAUUUUUUUUUUGCAGGCUAGUAGGGCAAGGUCCCGCCCUCCUUCGCCUCUGAUUGGCUAGAAGUGCUGGGCUCAGAUUGGUCCGAUUGGUUGCGAUAAUGUUCUGUUUGAUGUACAGAGCCAACAGCCCGCAUUUGGCUUGAGCAUGUGAUGACAUUUCCAGCUUUUCUACACUCUGUUUUUUUAUUGUUAAUUAAUUUUCCAAACAUUUCAAAGCAGAAAAACUUAUUUUUUUGUAAUUUUGCAAUAAUAUCUAGUUUUUUUUAUUGUCUAGGUUUGCAGAUAUUUUAUAAACAUUUGUCGUCCAUCCAUCACAGAUCCCUUCUUUCUUCUUCUCUUGUUCACUUCCUGCGUCCCGCUAAGCCUCCUAAAUCCUUAGCUAAACACUUCAGCUGUGAAAGGUCGUUCCAGGGUCAGGGGAAACUGAAAAAUUCGUGGACUAGCAGAACUCACAUCAUCAUCAUCACACACUCACACACACACUCACACACACACACACACACACUCACACAAUCUGGGUCGGGCUGACAGUCACACACUCACACUGUCAGCUGGUGGGCUAAGUGAGGUGAGCGUGUUUAGAUAAAGUGUUAAAAGCUCAGACGGACAGAGCCGAGGAAUGUAAAGAUAAGACGUUUGUGCUUACACAAAGACACACACACACACACACACACACACUCGCGGCGCGGCGCACACCAGAGUGGUAAUUAUCUAACUUACACACAUAAUGGUGUUAAUGGGCUAAGCGGCGACAAAUCUUCCUGUUCCUGACCUUGGGUGGGAAACGCCGCAAGUUUGGCACAUUACACAAGAGGUCACGACCUUGUAGUGGAAGGAUGGAUUCGCGCCGAGCUCCCGGUAAAGCUCUGAGAUUUUGGCGAAGCGGCGUGAGCUCCCUGAACCUUCGCUGAACCGGGAUUGAUCCGAUUGCGGUGAAGUAAUGACUCUCUUGUGAAUCAGAGCGGCAGGACUACAUGACUCAACCGAACCAGAUCUGCUGGAUCAGAGGGACUUCCUAGUUUAUGAGAAUAUCCUGAGAACCUUUAGAGGGGCCUGACCCUGAAGAUGGGACUGACCGGACUGGGGUCUGGACCAGCUACAGGACUUUAAUGCGUCUUCUGUUUCAGCAGCAUUUCUGACUGUGAUUAUGGUUUCCUUCACGCCGCCGGCCGUGUCGAUUACAUCACUGUUGUCCCCGUAAUGACUGUAAAGAAUGUCUGCGAGGGAAUUAGUGAUAUAAUGUACGAACUCGAGCGUCCAAUCAGCACAGUCCUGGAUGGCAUGUGGUUCAAGGAUGUGAGACUUUAGUUUGAGUAUCUGAUGGAAGGAUUUCUCUGAUUUUUGUUGGUCUUUGUCUCUACCUUUUUGUCACUUCCACUUUUGAUUCUGUCAGGGGUGCCGCAGCUCAAGGAAGAACAUUUAUGAUCAUUUCUUUUUGGAAAUACAAUCAGACCGAGACACUAAGACAGAAGAACUACGGCGUCUGCAGAGCAAAAUGAUAAAUAUGGUGAUUAUUACUUCAAGGAAAUGAUAAAGAAAUGAUCAUAAAUGUUCUUCCUUGAGCUGCGAAACCCCGCCGUAAUCCGUAAUGGAUUCCGUGGCUCUCUGUAUUUCUAUCCUGCGGUCGUUACUAAAGUUGGUAUAACUAGAGAAUCAAGCGGUCGUCAACAUUCAUCUCUGAAGGGGGUGUCUAACUCGGUGUUACGGUGAGUUUGACCCUAAAUAAAUUUUACGGAAUAUCCCUUUAAUUCCUUUAUUGUGAAAUGAAACGAUGAAACAGCGCUCUCCGUGGUGCUGGCACUCACUCUUCUCUCACCUUUAAUUUACUCUCUUUAAAUUCUGAAUUAUUUGGAUAAAAUUUGAAUGUUGGGCCUCAAUGUCGUACUAUAAACUAUAAACUAUAUAAAUAUAUAUAAAUAUAUAUAUAUAAACGCAGCUUCGGUAAAACUGCAAACUCAUCACGCACGGCUCCACCUUCCCAAUAAUCUGCGAGUCUUGUUUUGAAAACAGGAUGUUCUGUGUAUGAAUGUGCUGGAUUGUAGCUUAAGGCUGUUUUGCUGCAGGAUUUACAUACAUUAGAUUACAGUCGUUCCCCGUACGGUAAUCCGCGGGUCAGCUGCAUGUUUGCUGAGGUCGAACAUACUUCAUGCAUAAAACAUGGAUCAUGCAUUUUGUAGGUUGAACAGUUUGGGCUGCAUGUGCCGUGAAUGAAAAUAGAUAUAAGUGAAGUUUGAUGAUCUCUUUAGAGUGUCGAUGUUGAAUGAAGACGUCAGUAAAUCAAGUCGAAUGUUAGAAGAUUCAGGUCAUAGAGUUACGAGAACAAAGUUAUUAAAAAAAAAGGAAUGAAGUUAAAAUAUUAUGAAAUUAAAAAUGUGAUCAAUUUGUUUUUUUUUUUAGAUCAAAAUUUUUUUAAAGAUACAGUGGGGAUCUUUUAGGGUGUUUCAGUUUUGGCGCCCCCUGUGGACAAAGCUGUCUUUGCUUGUUUUGUCCUUGACAAUUUUUUGUUAUGAAUCUCAUCCUGCUAAUUUUAAACACUAAAACUGAACAUUUUUGAAAAUAUUUUGUGUAGAAAUUAAAAAAUUUCCAGUGUCUUUUGCCUCAGCUGAUCGUCUGACCUCCUUAAAUCAGUUUGAGGCGUUAAAAGACGGGAAUAAAAAUCAUGUCUCAUUGCUGACAGUCUAAUUUUCUGUUGAAUGUCAUGGAAGUGAAGUCAAUUUUUUUUAGAUCAAAAAUUUCUUAAAGCUCCAGUGAGGAAUUUUUCGUUUGUCUCAGUUUUGGCGCCCCCUGUGGACAAAGCUGUCUUCGCUUAUUUUGUCCUCUAAAUGCUUCAGUAAUGAAUCUCAUCCUGCUGAUUUUUAACACUGAAACUGAAGAUUUUUUUAAAAAAUUUGUGUCGAAAUAAAAAAAUUUCCAGUUUCUGUUUCUUUAAUUGAUCGUCUGACCUCCUCUAAUCAGUUUGAGGCGUUAAAAGUCGGAAAUAAAAGUCAUGUCUCAUUGCUGACGGUCUAAUUAUCUGUUUGAGGUCAUAAAAGUGAAGUUAUAUUUUUUAGAUCAAAAACAUCUUAAAGCUCCAGUUAGGAACUUUUAGUUUGUCUCGUUUUUGGCGCCCCCUGUGGACAAAGCUGUCUUCGCUUAUUUUGUCCUUUUAAAUGCAUGAGUAAUGAAUUCCACCCUGCUGAUUUUAAACACUGUAAUUCAUCAUUUAUUUAAAUAUUUUUGGGAAAACUGUAAAAAAAGUUCAACUUCCGUUUCUUUAGCCGAUCAUCCAACCCUCUUGAAUCAGUUUGAGGCGUAAAAAGAUGAAAAUAAAAAUCGUGUCUCAGUCUGAUUUUUCUGUUGGAUGUCAUGGAAGUGAAACCAGUCUAAUUCAUCAACGUGAAAAAACUUCUCACAGGAGCUUUAAAAUUCCUCCAAAAUGAGUCAGUAAAACAUUUCAGACACUUUUACAGGAAUUUACUGUUUUUUUAAGACCUUGAAUGAGUGUAAAAGUUUCACAGUAAGUAAAACUAAUGCAUCAUUUUUCUAAUUAAACAGUCCGUCUAAUUCAUGACCGUUAACAAACUUCUCACAGGAGCUUUAAAAUUCCUCCAAAAUUAGUUUCAGACACUUUUACAGGAAUUUACAGUUUUUUUUAAGACCUCGAAUGAAUUCAAAAGGUUUUUUUUUACAGUGUUUAAAGUUGUGGGAUUUUCUUCUGUAUCAUCAUUUUUUAAAAUCAGGAUAAAGUUUAUUUACUCCUGGAAGAACUGUAAAAGUUAGAAACUCGAACAUCUACAGUUUCUGCCGCAGCAUUGAGCAACUUCUCCUCAUGAGGGAGGUCAUGUGAUCCGACAAACAGAUCCACAGCAGCCGUUAAACGGAUCCUGCGGUUACAGAUUUUUGGGAUUUUGCAGAGUUUGAGAUUCUCUAAAAGCAAGACACCAAGAGAGAGACAGAGAGAGUGAGAUGAAGUUAAUUUAGUUAAACCCUAAAUGAUGUUUUUCUCUUCUUCAAACUGGAGUUUUCUGAGUAAAUGAGCCGACAAAUGAACUUUUGGUCUGUGCGCUCGUGUCUCGUGUCGCGUCUGUAAAGAAUGAAAAGUCAAUUAAACGUAAACUUUGAGGACGUUUAUAAAGGAAGGACAAAAACCUGCACACAAUUUACUCCAACAAAGCAGAAAAUCAAAACAAUGCCGUCUCCUGUUCCUCCUCUCCUCUGAUCUUCCCUCUUUUUCUUCUUCUUCUUCUUCCUUUUCUCUCCGGCUGUCAUGAGUUUCUGCUCCGCUAGGCGGCAGCAUUGAGCCGCUUUCAGGAGAAGAAGCAGAGAGGGGAAAGAGGGAGAGAAACAGAGAGAAAAAAGACGGUCAGAGGUCUUAAAAGAGGGAGAGAUUUAUACAGAGAGAAGAAAGGAGGGAUGAGAAAUAAGAGAGGAGCUGAAAAACGAGGGAAAAUGAAGGAAAGAGAGACGAUCCGAAAACAGGUGAACUUCUGUCUGACCUCUACAGGUGUGUGUUUGUGUAACUGUGUGUAACUGUGUGUGUGUUUGUGUGUCUUUCAGGGUCUCCUCUCUUAUAUAACGGACCCCUAAUAUUCCUGAUCAACAGUCUGAGGACCUAAUUGAAGCCAGUCAUUUUCUUUGGCGCUGCGGUGAACCCGACUUCCCCCGCCGCCUGAGACUCAUUGAUCCGAUUGUUUCCUGAGGACUUAGAGAAGGAAGCGAGGCGAGGACACGGGGAAGGACACGUGGACCGGGACCGUGGAGACCUUUGAGGUUCGAGGACGGGAGGAGAGAGGGAUGGAGAAGAAGAAGAAAAGAGAGAUGGAGAGAUGUAUGAACUUCUUUUUAAAGAAAGACAAAAACAAUGGAAUAAAAGACAAAUAUUCAGACAGAUGUACGAAAAAUGAGGAAAAAGAAGGAAAAAAAGGAAAGACGGACUCAAAAAAGAAGAAAAUAAAAAGACA